rnacentral:tRNA from 1 species
GGGCGGUUAGCUCAGUGGGAGAGCGCUUGUCUCACACACAAGAGGUCGCAGGUUCGAAUCCUGCACCGCCCACCA